GCUGGUUCUCCUUAAGAGCCACUCACCCUCUCUUUUCCCUCUAAUAAAUUUCCCUUUUCUUGCCUGACUGCCCGGCUUGGUCUCUUUUUCUCUGCACUUGCCUUACAUUUAUGACUAUCACAAUCAGCUUCAGGGUAUUUUAAAGGAUAUUCUGAUCUUUCUUCAGAUGUUGAUUCCAACCAGCUAAAGCUGAACCUGGAAACACUGAUCAAUUAUCUCUACGGAAUCAGCUACCCUCCUUACGGGCAAAAUCUCCAACUGAAUUAAUAUCCUAUAAGAAGAUCUUCAGUGUUUCCCAGGUGGCACGUUCGAUCCCUAGGUUGGGAAGAUUCCCCAGGAGGAGGGCACGGCAACCCACUCCAGUAUUCUUGCCUGGAGAAUCCCUUGGACACAGGAGCCUGGUGGGCUAUGGCGCAUAAAGUUGCAGAGAGUUGGACACAACUCAAGAACCUUGGCACGCACGCACAAGAAGUCCUUCAAGGCUUAAAGACCAUCAUAGAAGAUUACAAAGCUCAAAGCCCUUGUAACAGUCCCUGUUAACACUGC
ensembl:lncRNA